rnacentral:lncRNA from 1 species
CCAAAAUCCACUGCCAAGGGUUACACCUGGGCAAGGACAUUGCUCCAGUUCAAAUUCAAAUGACCUGGGAGACAAAACCCACUUUUGUGAAAAUAUGUCAGAAAGAAAUUGAUCUGAACUUGGGAACAGGUUUUGAUCCAAGGGCUAGUGUACAGCCCAGGGAGGGCCAGCGGAAGUAAGAAGACAGCUCCAUCCAUCAGGAGCCUCUGUGUUCAGGGGACAGUGGGCAGGGG